CGGCGGAGGCUCAGCAGGAGUAAGUCCUGACUGCGGCGGAGUCCAGCCUCUGCGCUCCCGCCACGCUGCCUGGUCCGACAAGCACGGGAGGAAGCGUGCAAACAGCGUGCGAUUCAGAGAGCGCCUGGACUUCCCUUUUGCUGUAUCCGCGAGGACGGUACUCGGUACUCGGGCAAUAGUAACAGCGGCCCCGUGACGGCCCCCCCCAAGGGGACGACGGCCUGGAGGCCCCGCGCUCUGCUGCCCCAGGGGGACCCGCCUGCUCUCUCUCCCCGGGGAGCCUCCCCCAGCGGCCCCGGCAGUGGGCAGAGGGCAGAGGACGGGGACUUGGCAACAAAGCGGAAGCCCAGUGUCAGUUUCCACCCGAAAGGAUGUCACCACUGACGUUUUUUUUCUUGUCAAGAAACAGGCUGCAGGGCCCAAUAGGUCCAGCAGGAACACAUCUUACCAACAUUUGGCCGUGGUUCCAGAAAGGGCUUAAGACAGCUGGUGCUGCUGAUUGGAGCAGAUUUUUUUUUUUUUUUAAAGCCACUGAUUUGGACGUUUUAUUUUACUUUAUUUAUUUAUAUUUGGCCAUGCCACGUGGCACACAGGAUCUUAGUUUCCGACCAGGGAUCGAACCCGCGCCCCCUGCAUUGGAAGCAUGGAGCCUUAACCACUGGACCGCCAGGGACGUCCCCCAGAUCAUCUUUCUAAACCCUUCUGAUCCUAAGAACCCCAGAGACCUGCUGCACUUUGCCUUCAAAAGCCAUGAAAACAACCCAUUUUAACAGUUUACGCCUUCUUUAUCACACAAGGGUAAAAAGUCUUCUCCCAUAUAACAUAUUGCCUACACCUCUUUCUAGGAGUAUUUUUAAUUUAUCAAAACUCUAAUGUGAACAUCACUGUGAGCAUUUAACAGCGAAAUGCGAUUUAUAACGAGGAGAAUGGAAAUGAAGCAGUGAGGAAAAUAAGAAAGCACUCAUUUAGACUAUCCAAUAAAUUGAAGGCCAAGCUACGGUUAAAAUCUGUAAAAAUGAACUGCAUGCUCCUUGGAAGAAAAAUGCUAUUUAAAAAAAAAAAAAAAUUUGCUGGGUUCCCCCUGGGUUCCCUCCCACCCCCCGGGUUAAGCACAUUAUUGAAUUCCGGCACCGAGAUCCAGCUUUUUAAUAAAAAUGCUGCCCUGUAAGCCACCCUCACUAAAGUGUCCAGCUUAU